rnacentral:rRNA from 1 species
AGCGGCAGCACGGGUACUUGUACCUGGUGGCGAGCGGCGGACGGGUGAGUAAUGCCUAGGAAUCUGCCUGGUAGUGGGGGAUAACGCUCGGAAACGGACGCUAAUACCGCAUACGUCCUACGGGAGAAAGCAGGGGACCUUCGGGCCUUGCGCUAUCAGAUGAGCCUAGGUCGGAUUAGCUAGUUGGUGAGGUAAUGGCUCACCAAGGCGACGAUCCGUAACUGGUCUGAGAGGAUGAUCAGUCACACUGGAACUGAGACACGGUCCAGACUCCUACGGGAGGCAGCAGUGGGGAAUAUUGGACAAUGGGCGAAAGCCUGAUCCAGCCAUGCCGCGUGUGUGAAGAAGGUCUUCGGAUUGUAAAGCACUUUAAGUUGGGAGGAAGGGCAGUUACCUAAUACGUGAUUGUUUUGACGUUACCGACAGAAUAAGCACCGGCUAACUCUGUGCCAGCAGCCGCGGUAAUACAGAGGGUGCAAGCGUUAAUCGGAAUUACUGGGCGUAAAGCGCGCGUAGGUGGUUUGUUAAGUUGAAUGUGAAAUCCCCGGGCUCAACCUGGGAACUGCAUCCAAAACUGGCAAGCUAGAGUAUGGUAGAGGGUGGUGGAAUUUCCUGUGUAGC